AUAAAUGAGAGACACCUGUGAGCUGAGCUGCUGCUAACAAAGGAAGCAUGAAGAACAAUAGAGAGAAGUGGCAAAAAAGACAACCAGUAGACUUUUACAAGAACUGUACAGCUUCUGGUCAACUUUGAUCCAGAACUAGCUUGUUUAGUGAACAUUUGCUGGUCCAUGUGGAACUGAAGGAUAUCAGCUGAUCUCAGGAGCAGGACUGGAUAUGCAUCAUACAUCAGACAGCUGCCUGGAGGAGUUUUUUGUCUGGCCGCAGACCAGAUGGUAUGUUUGGAAGACACCAGACACCACAACCCCGCUGUGAGGCAUGGAGGUGGCAGCAUCAUGAUGUGGACAUGCUUCAUGGUGGCACACCAUGGAAGGGGAAAUCCUGGAGGAUAACCUGGUAAACAUCUAAGAACUGUAACUCGAGAAAUGCCCCUGUUCGUAAAAUAACUGAAAUCUUACUUCUCUAUUAAUCUUUAAUUCAUUUUAGUUUUCAGUUCCUUCAUUUUGCCUGUUUUUUUCUUUAUUUGGCAAAGAUUUAGCCAUUUUGUUGACCUGCACAGUUGUAAUAUUCCUCAAUUUCCAUAAAGUAAUGAGAUGAUUCAUUCA
ensembl:lncRNA